CCUACGGGAGGCAGCAGUGGGGAAUUUUGGACAAUGGGCGCAAGCCUGAUCCAGCCAUGCCGCGUGCGGGAAGAAGGCCUUCGGGUUGUAAACCGCUUUUGUCAGGGAAGAAAUCCUUUGGGUUAAUACCUCGGAGGGAUGACGGUACCUGAAGAAUAAGCACCGGCUAACUACGUGCCAGCAGCCGCGGUAAUACGUAGGGUGCGAGCGUUAAUCGGAAUUACUGGGCGUAAAGCGUGCGCAGGCGGUUAUGCAAGACAGAUGUGAAAUCCCCGGGCUCAACCUGGGAACUGCAUUUGUGACUGCAUAGCUAGAGUACGGUAGAGGGGGAUGGAAUUCCGCGUGUAGCAGUGAAAUGCGUAGAUAUGCGGAGGAACACCGAUGGCGAAGGCAAUCCCCUGGACCUGUACUGACGCUCAUGCACGAAAGCGUGGGGAGCAAACAGGAUUAGAUACCCUGGUAGUCCACGCCCUAAACGAUGUCAACUGGUUGUUGGACGGCUUGCUGUUCAGUAACGAAGCUAACGCGUGAAGUUGACCGCCUGGGGAGUCGGCCGCAAGGUUGAAACUCAAAGGAAUUGACGGCGNGAGAGNGACGACGGACGACGACGAGGGAGGAGG
rnacentral:rRNA from 1 species